UACGUAGGGGGCAAGCGUUGUCCGGAAUCAUUGGGCGUAAAGAGCGUGUAGGCGGCCCGGUAAGUCCGCUGUGAAAGUCCAGGGCUCAACCCUGGGAUGCCGGUGGAUACUGUCGGGCUCGAGUCCGGAAGAGGCGAGUGGAAUUCCUGGUGUAGCGGUGAAAUGCGCAGAUAUCAGGAGGAACACCAAUGGCGAAGGCAGCUCGCUGGGACGUGACUGACGCUGAGGCGCGAAAGCGUGGGGAGCAAACAGG
rnacentral:rRNA from 1 species